GCGGAGGUUGCCAAGCCUGGCCAACGGCGCAGCCCUGAGGAGGCUGUCCCUUAGGGGUGCGUGGGUUCAAAUCCCACCCUCCGCACCA
rnacentral:tRNA from 2 species